GACGAACGCUGGCGGCGUGCCUAACACAUGCAAGUCGAACGGAGUGGCGAACGGGUGAGUAACACGUGGGUGAUCUGCCUUGCACUUCGGGAUAAGCUUGGGAAACUGGGUCUAAUACCGGAUAGUGCAAGAUGCGCUCGCGGCCAAUCAGCUUGUUGGUGGGGUAAUGGCCUACCAAGGCGUCGACGGGUAGCCGGCCUGAGAGGGUGUACGGCCACAUUGGGUCUGAUCUACUGACCAGUCCCUUACGGGAGGCAGCAGUUGGGAAUAUUGCACAAUGGGCGGAAGCCUGAUGCAGCGACGCCGCGUGGGGGAUGAAGGCCUUCGGGUUGUAAACUCCUUUCGAUAGGGACGCGGUACCUGUAUAAGAAGCACCGGCUAACUACGUGCCAGCAGCCGCGGUAAUUC
rnacentral:rRNA from 1 species